GAUGAAGAACGCAGCGAAAUGCGAUAAGUAAUGUGAAUUGCAGAAUUCAGUGAAUCAUCGAAUCUUUGAACGCACAUUGCGCCCGCGAGUAUUCUCGCGGGCAUGCCUGUCCGAGCGUCAUUUCAACCCUCAGGGCCCGCCUGCUUCGGCAGGCGCGGCGCUGGUGUUGGGGAUCGGCCUAACCGCCGGCCCCCAAAUACAGUGGCGGUCUCGCUGCAGCCUCCCCUGCGUAGUAGCAACACUCGCAUGCGGAGCGCGGCGCGGCCACGCCGUAAAACCCCCGACUUUCUGAACGUUGACCUCGGAUCAGGUAGGAAUACCCGCUGAACUUAAGCAUAUCAAUAAGCGGAGGA
rnacentral:misc_RNA from 1 species